UACGAAGGGGCUAGCGUUGCUCGGAAUCACUGGGCGUAAAGCGCACGUAGGCGGAUUGUUAAGUCAGGGGUGAAUCCUGCAGCUUAACUGCAGAACUGCCGUGGAUACUAUUAUCUUGAAUGUCGUGGAGGUUAGCAGAAUAUGUCAUGUAGCGGUGAAAUGCUUAGAUAUGACAUAGAAUACCCAUUGCGAAGGCAGCUAACUACGCGAUAAUUGACGCUGAGGCACGAAAGCGUGGGAUCAAACAGG
rnacentral:rRNA from 1 species